rfam:Dipodomys ordii contig_7398, whole genome shotgun sequence.
GGUGGCUCAGUGGUAGAGCGCUUGCCUCGCAUGCAUAAGGCCCUGGGUUCGAUUCCUCAGCACCA